ACGACCUUACUUGAACAGGAUCUGUUCUAUAGGAUCGUACUACUGUGUCCUUGAUUUCUAAGGAGACAGGAACAUAAAUCUGGAUGAGGAUUUGUGACCGUGUGAUCAGAGCGUGAUUAACGGUUCUAUGGUGAGACCUACGGGAAUCAUCAUAAGUUGACUGUAGAUGAUCGUUCUCAGCCAGCCCAGUCUGGUUGGGGUGGUCACACGGUAAUCUUGACAGAUU
rnacentral:snoRNA from 2 species